CGGGAAUUUUGGGCAAUGGGCGAAAGCCUGACCCAGCAACGCCGCGUGAGGGAUGAAGUAUUUCGGUAUGUAAACCUCGAAGGAAUGGGAAGAAUAAAUGACGGUACCAUUUAUAAGCUCCGGCUAACUACGUGCCAGCAGCCGCGGUAAUACGUAGGGAGCACGCGUUGUUCGGAUUUACUGGGCGUAAAGGGCGCGUAGGCGGCGCGGUAAGUCACUUGUGAAAUCUCUGAGCUUAACUCAGAACGGCCAAGUGAUACUGCUGUGCUAGAGUGCGGAAGAGNCAACCGGAAUUCUUGGUGUAGCGGUGAAAUGCGUAGAUAUCAAGAGGAACACCUGAGGCGAAGGCGGGUUGCUGGGCCGACACUGACGCUGAUGCGCGAAAGCCAGGGGAGCAAACG
rnacentral:rRNA from 1 species